AUCUGGAAUUUUGUGAUGACAUCCUGGUUCUGGAGGACGGUGAGGUCAGAGAGGCCGGGAAUCACCAGGCACUGAUGAAAACCAACGGACGCUACGCUCAGCUCAUCAACAACUACCAGAUGGAACAGUCCAAAAUGGAGAAAGAGGAGGAGGAGGAGGCGUCACCCAAACAGGCUGCUGAGCUGAAUGAUGUCAGACAGCGAGCUGACAGUGGGAUAGUUAACCCCGCGUUUGACAUGUCAGAUGAAAACGAUGACGGGACGCCAGCGGAUCAGAACA